GACGAAGGAUGCAAGCGUUAUCCGGAUUCAUUGGGUUUAAAGGGAGCGUAGGCGGCCUUGUAAGUCAGUGGUGAAAUCUCGCAGCUUAACUGCGAAACUGCCAUUGAUACUGCUUGGCUAGAGUACAGAUGCUGUGGGCGGAAUAUGACAUGUAGUGGUGAAAUACAUAGAGAUGUCAUAGAACACCGAUUGCGAAGGCAGCUCACAAAACUGUAACUGACGCUGAGGCUCGAAAGUGUGGGGAUCAAGCAGG
rnacentral:rRNA from 1 species